GGCCGGGUGGCGAAGUGGCCUAACGCAGAGGUCUGCAAAACCUUCAUUCGUGGGUUCAAAUCCCACCCCGGCCUCCA
rnacentral:tRNA from 1 species